AUUGAACGCUGGCGGCAUGCCUUACACAUGCAAGUCGAACGGUAACAGGUCUUCGGAUGCUGACGAGUGGCGAACGGGUGAGUAAUACAUCGGAACGUGCCCGAUCGUGGGGGAUAACGAGGCGAAAGCUUUGCUAAUACCGCAUACGAUCUACGGAUGAAAGCGGGGGAUCUUCGGACCUCGCGCGGACGGAGCGGCCGAUGGCAGAUUAGGUAGUUGGUGGGAUAAAAGCUUACCAAGCCGACGAUCUGUAGCUGGUCUGAGAGGAUGAUCAGCCACACUGGGACUGAGACACGGCCCAGACUCCUACGGGAGGCAGCAGUGGGGAAUUUUGGACAAUGGGCGAAAGCCUGAUCCAGCCAUGCCGCGUGCAGGAUGGAGGCCUUCGGGUUGUAAACUGCUUUUGUACGGAACGAAAAGCCUCUUUCUAAUAAAGAGGGGUCAUGACGGUACCGUAAGAAUAAGCACCGGCUAACUACGUG
rnacentral:rRNA from 1 species